ensembl:lncRNA
UGUCAUGUGUGUCAAAGCCAAGCUCUCCAGCGAAUCUCUGUGUUCUGCAGUCUGGGUUUUGCAAUCUGUGUUGUGUGUUCUGACCUGCCUAGAUCUCACUGUUUAUAUGCUUGGAUUCUCCGCCAAGCACCCUUUUGGAUUUGAUUGCCUGUCUGACUGAUUUCCUGGUUUUGAUCCAGCCAGUCUACCGAGGAAACACACUUUGCCUGAACUGUGCCAUAGCUUCGGAGAGCUAAGAUGUUACUUGUCACAUCAACAACCAUUAGAGACUGUGCCUACAACAAAACGAGCCAUAAAUUUCCUCCAUCAUGCACUCUUUCUCACCGCGGUCACCAGGGACUCCAUCUCUACAAAGCACAGCCACUAUAGUGACGUGAACGGGACACCCGGGGGGAUGUGUAGAGUCUGCAUGCAGCGGUAUAGAGCCGUGGAUGAACUUCUGGGUAGAUGGGAAUGUUACCAAGGAGAAACUUGAUAUGCUCUAUAUAUUCCAAUGGCUUUAGGAAAAUAUAUUCAAAAGGCACUCCGGAUUUACAAACCGUCAUUACAGAGCCGGUGCAGACAUCAGCAU